AUGUCUGCCGGGGGUGGAGGGGGGCAAAGAGGAAGUCCGAGGGGUCGGGCCAAAGCACUGGAUGACUAUUACUACGAGAAAGACCACUUACUAAACAUGCAGGAGGAAAGCAUUUAGAGAGAACUGGGAGCACCAUGCGUAGAAGACUGCGUGAACAGGCCCCGUGAGGACGUAGGGAGACCUCCUUGUUUACAGUUGAAAGCUGCUGGCCACGAUAAACCUCGCGGGUGAAGGUUUCCACAGAAGGGGGUCAGAGAGAGAGAGAUGAGUGUAAUGAACAAGCAACGUUAGCACGUGUGUGCGUGUGUGUGUGUGUGUGUGUGUGUGUGUGUGUGUAAUGAGGUGGUCAUAGUACUGAUCACCAGCAACGCCCAAGUGCUUCAUGUACAAUUUCAUUUAGUUUUUACAGAACCCCUAGGAGAUCCACAUGUUCAUUUCCAUUUAGAGAAGCAUGAACUUUAAAGUUAAGCAACCGGCACAAAGUCUCCAGAAGGUAAACGCAGAAAGUGUCGAUCUGCGGGAAGAGCCCAAGGAGGGAAAUCGCAGGGAAGCAAUAUAAAAAUACUGGAAGUGAACAGACAAAGUUGACGAAGGAAGGUCUGCAGGCCGAGUGGAAACAUGCCUGCAGAAGUAACAAGGGGCCGUGUCCGAGGAAGAGGCCUAGACGAGGACCCAGGAGAGACCUCGGGUGGUGAGGGAGGCAGUGGACCAGUCCACAGUUUGCAAGAGCAGCUUUGCAUGUGGGGGGCAUGAGCAUGGGAGGAAGAAUCUGGGAAACUCCAGAAACAGGCAAACCUAAAGGGUGGUAGGUGGGCGGGUCUCUCCCUGCAUGGGGGCGGGGGGUGCCAACAUCGGAGCUGGGGGCUCCUCACUUUGUGCCUCUGUCCCCUGGUGCACUUGACGUGCUGAGCAUCACCACAUCUAAAUGCCAACCACAGAUUCGAGUUCAGUGGGAACUCCAGGUUCGCAGAGGAACAAGGGAGGGUGGUGAUUAAGACGCCACCACAGGUGAUGGUGGGGCACUGAAGGGACUGACUCCCUGGACACUGGAGCAUCUGGGACACGAAGGUAGCCCUGCCUGGCCAGAGGACCGUGUUCCGUCCCAAAAUUGUAACAGUGCAGCUGGAUAAAACAUCCACAUGCCAGGACUCCACCUGUCCCCCAGAUCAUUUGUUAGAGGAAAUAAGACGUACCAGAGCUGCGUUUCACAGCUACUUCCCUAUUAUCCUCUCUUGAUCAAGUCUUUGUAAGUUGGCUUUCAUAGAAACACAGAAUCUCCCAUUCCUUCUGCUAUAAUACAUCUGUCUUCUGUCUCAGUUUAUUGAGUAGCAUGUCAAUGUAGUUCGAUACUGGUAAGCCUUAAUAAAACUAAGGAAAUUUGAUUUGAAAUCCCA